UACGGAGGGGGCUAGCGUUGUUCGGAAUUACUGGGCGUAAAGCGCACGUAGGCGGCUUUGUAAGUUAGAGGUGAAGCCCGGGGCUCAACUCCGGAAUUGCCUUUAAGACUGCAUCGCUAGAAUUGUGGAGAGGUAAGUGGAAUUCCGAGUGUAGAGGUGAAAUUCGUAGAUAUUAGGAAGAACACCAGUGGCGAAGGCGGCUCACUGGUCCGGUACUGACGCUGAGGUGGCGAAA
rnacentral:rRNA from 1 species